GACGUAGGAGGCGAGCGUUGUCCGGAUUCAUUGGGCGUAAAGAGCGCGCAGGCGGCUUGGUAAGUCGGAUGUGAAAACCCGAGGCUCAACCUCGGGCGUGCAUCCGAUACUGCUCGGCUAGAGGUAUUCAGGGGAGAACGGAAUUCCUGGUGUAGCGGUGAAAUGCGCAGAUAUCAGGAGGAACACCGGUGGCGAAGGCGGUUCUCUGGGAAUAUCCUGACGCUGAGGAGCGAAAGUGUGGGGAGCGAACAGG
rnacentral:rRNA from 1 species